rnacentral:rRNA from 1 species
GACGAACGCUGGCGGCGUGCUUAACACAUGCAAGUCGAACGAAGUGGCGAACGGGUGAGUAACGCGUAAUCAACCUGCCCUUCAGAGGGGGACAACAGUUGGAAACGACUGCAAAUACCGCAUACUGAAGGUGGGGAUUGCGUUGGCUUAGCUAGUUGGAGGGGUAACGGCCAGCCAAGGCGAUGAUCAGUAGCCGGUCUGAGAGGAGUGACGGCCACAUUGGGACUGGGACACGGCCCAGACUCCUACGGGAGGCAGCCGUGGGGGAUCUUCCGCAAUGGACGAAAGUCUGACGGAGCAACGCCGCGUGGGUGAUGACGGCCUUCGGGUUGUAAAGCUCUGUUAAUCGGGACGCGGUACCGGAAUAGAAAGCCACGGCUAACUACGUGCCAGCAGCCGCGGUAAUAC